UUUAAACCAAAAACAUCUAUUCAAACAAAAAGCAAGUCACAAGUCAGCCACUGACUGAACCUUCCACCCAAAACUUCCCUGAGCCAAGGUUAGCCAUGGACUCCACCCCUACCCCUACCCCUACCCCUACCUUUCUUCGCCAUUCCCAAUCCCAAUGCAGCAGCCCACUCCUCUACCCUCCACCCUCCUCCGCUACCAAGCUCCCCAUCAAACGCAAAAACCCCGACUCCAUUAACCCUAACCCUAACCUCUUCUCUCCCCAACUCCUCAGUGACUUCAACGACGUCGUCCUCGUCCCAACCCCACCAGAUUCAUAUGCCCAAACCCUCAGCACCGCCAGAACGCCCCCGUUUAAGUACCACCGAGUCUGGACCGAGCCCGACGAGCUUCUCUUCCUCCAAGGCCUCCUCGACUGCGCCUCCCAUGGUGGCUUCUCCUUCCCCAAAGACCUCCGCCUCUUCUACGGCCGCUUCUCCGCCACCGUCUCUCACUCCUACACCAAAUCCCAGCUCUCCGAGAAGCUCCGCCGCCUCCGGAAAAAGUUCCGAGUCGUCUCGUCCCGCCUCACUCGCGGCCUCUGCGAGUCCCAGCUCUCGCCUCACGAUCGCGCCCUGUACGACCUCUCCAGGAAGCUCUGGAGCCCCGAGUGCUGGUCCACUUCCCCGUUCGGUAACAGAGAAAAGAGCGACGCCGGAGAGUCUGAUAAUUUGGCGGCGGCGGAUGAGAAUCUGAAUCAGAAUAAGAACCAGAGCGUUUCGGAUGAUCUCGAUGUCGAAAAUGAUAGCGGCGAUGAGGUGAAGACGACGAGCGAGUUGGCACGGCCCAUUGCUGCGCUGGCGGCGAAUAGUGUUCUGGACGUGUUUGAUCAGUCUCUCAAUGAGGUUCGGAUGCUUCUUGUUCAACAGGGUGUGCUCUGUUCUGACCCGGUUCGUUUGGCUUCGGGUUCGGGUUCUUCGAAUGAGGGGAAGACUGCAAUGGACUUCGAGACGCAGUGGCAGCUCCAACGCCUUGCUGAAUUGGAUGUGUUGGCUCAGAGAUUGAGGUUGGUUCUCGAAGACUCGAAUCGGUGGCAAUGAGUAUAUGUGAGUAUGAGUUUUUCUACAAUUACAUUUAUAUUUUGUAUAGGGAACUGACAAAGUGAGGGUAUUCGGAAUGCCUUCCGUGACCAUUACAAAGGCAAGUGAGGGGGAUUUGCAAAUGACACCUUCCUAGUAGUGAUUUGCAAAUCCCUCCUACAUGCCUUUGCAAUGCUCAUGGAGGGGUUUUCGAAUUCCCUUCGUCUAACACUUUGUAGUCUACUCCUUACUAAUUGGUCUCGAUCCCUUGGGCUUAUUAAUCCCUCACCCAAACAUAGCAUUAUGGUUUUACUUGCAUUCAAAUUCUGCUACCUUUACAGUGAUCCUUCUAAAUACUUGUUCUGCAUUUUUUUGGGUUGUUCUAAAGGGCGGCCCUUAAAAUCGCCUUCCCUUCAUACCCAUGAAAGUAUUUUGAGUCAUAGCUGUGCAACAGCAAAAAAAGAGUCGUGAUUGAAUCAGAUGCGUGAAAGAGAAAUCCAUUUUUUUUUAACUCAAUUAUUUGAGGCAUUUGGAUCUGUCUGACUUAUCUCCCAUCAUUAUUUUGAUUGC